CCUACGGGGCGCACCAGUGGGGAAUAUUGCACAAUGGGCGCAAGCCUGAUGCAGCCAUGCCGCGUGUAUGAAGAAGGCCCUAGGGUUGUAAAGUACUUUCAGUCGGGAGGAAGGCGUUGAUGCUAAUAUCAUCAACGAUUGACGUUACCGACAGAAGAAGCACCGGCUAACUCCGUGUCAGCAGCCGCGGUAAUACGGAGGGUGCAAGCGUUAAACGGAAUUACUGGGCGUAAAGCGCACGCAGGCGGUUGAUUAAGUUAGAUGUGAAACCACCGGGCUUAACCUGGGAAUGGCAUCUAAGACUGGUCAGCUAGAGUUUUGUAGAGGGGGGUAGAAUUCCAUGUGUAGCGGUGAAAUGCGUAGAGAUGUGGAGGAAUACCGGUGGCGAAGGCGGCCCCCUGGACAAAGACUGACGCUCAGGUGCGAAAGCGUGGGGAGCAAACAGGAUUAGAUACCCGUGUAGUC
rnacentral:rRNA from 1 species